UACGUAGGGUGCAAGCGUUGUCCGGAAUUAUUGGGCGUAAAGGGCGCGUAGGCGGUUUGUUAAGUCAGCUGUGAAAGCCCGGGGCUCAACCCCGGAGGGUCAGCUGAUACUGGCAGACUAGAGUACAGAAGAGGUAACUGGAAUUCCCGGUGUAGCGGUGAAAUGCGUAGAUAUCGGGAGGAACGACCUGCGGCGAAGGCGGGUUGCUGGCUGACACUGACGCUGAGGCGCGAAAGCCAGGGGAGCGAACGGG
rnacentral:rRNA from 1 species